rnacentral:lncRNA from 1 species
CCUGUUUCUUAUAAAAUUAAAAUCUUAAAUAAUACAUUAAUACAAAGGUUUGAAAAUUUUUUCACAUUGAAGGUGUAGAUUAUUUCGAAGGUACAAACAACAAGGUACAAUGAUUUCAACACUACGAUUCCAAAAAGUUACAUUUCUCUAUGAAAAAUCAAAAGAUCCAAACUUGAAUAAUUUCUUCGCUAGAUUCCCAAAGUUAUAUUUGUCUAAGCAAAACCUAAAGAGCAAUUUUUUUUCAAUGCUACAACGAAAGCUUGCAAUAUUUCUGGUACAAAGUGAAAUCUCCCAAAAACAUUUCAAAUACGACGCACACAUUUUUUACUCCCCGUUUCUUAUAAAACUAUAUCAAGAAAAAACUACAAUAAAUCUUAAAUGAUACAUUAAUACAAAGGUUUGACAAUUUUUUCACAUUGAAGAUGUAGAUUAUUUCGAAGGUACAACAAGGUACAAUGAUUUCAACACUACGAUUCCAAAAAGUUACAUUUCUGUAUGAAAAAUCAAAAGAUCCAAACUUGAAUAAUUUCUUCGCUAGAUUCCCAAAGUUAUAUUUGUCUAAGCAAAA